rnacentral:lncRNA from 1 species
AGUUUGAUUUGAAGAUCUUGCAUCCCUCAUACAAUCUCCUCAAGUCCCAUAUCUUCUUUCUUUAGUGUAGUCAAUGGAAGUUGGAGAAUAGGCAGAGUCAAUCUUGUAGUAGGCAUUAGGAUCUUUGGUACUUGUACCACUCUUCGAGUACUAAAUCUAUCUUUUCUCCUUUCUUUUUUUACAAGUAAUCCAAUAGCAUCUUCAACAAUUCUCCACUUUGUUAUCAAUCCUUCCUCUUCUUCCUUAUCUUCAAGUAGAACCUCUAAUUUCUCUUGUAAUUCUUCAUUAGUAGCUUGAAAAAACAAUUCAACCUUGUUUG